AGCGAACGCUGGCGGCAGGCCUAACACAUGCAAGUCGAACGAAGUCUUCGGACUUAGUGGCGGACGGGUGAGUAACACGUGGGAACGUACCUUUUGGUUCGGAACAACUCAGGGAAACCUGAGCUAAUACCGGAUGAGCCCUUAGGGGGAAAGAUUUAUCGCCGAAAGAGCGGCCCGCGUUAGAUUAGCUAGUUGGUGAGGUAAAGGCUCACCAAGGCUACGAUCUAUAGCUGGUCUGAGAGGAUGAUCAGCCACACUGGGACUGAGACACGGCCCAGACUCCUACGGGAGGCAGCAGUGGGGAAUCUUGCGCAAUGGGCGAAAGCCUGACGCAGCCAUGCCGCGUGAAUGAUGAAGGUCUUAGGAUUGUAAAAUUCUUUUACCAGGGACGAUAGUGACGGUACCUGGAGAAAAAGCCCCGGCUAACUUCGUGCCAGCAGCCGCCGUAAAAC
rnacentral:rRNA from 1 species